rnacentral:rRNA from 1 species
UACGUAGGGUGCGAGCGUUGUCCGGAAUUAUUGGGCGUAAAGGGCUCGUAGGCGGUCUGUCGCGUCGGUAGUGAAAACUCAGGGCUUAACCCUGAGCCUGCUUCCGAUACGGGCAGACUAGAGGUAUGCAGGGGAGAACGGAAUUCCUGGUGUAGCGGUGAAAUGCGCAGAUAUCAGGAGGAACACCGGUGGCGGAGGCGGUUCUCUGGGCAUUACCUGACGCUGAGGAGCGAAAGUGUGGGGAGCGAACAGG